CCUGACCGGAGAACAAUAGGUCAACCGCGGCACUCCAAAGAAAUUGUCCAUCUUUUGAUCUAACCGGCACUUGGCGUUGGCUUGUAUAUCUGGCGAUUAGAUUAUUGGCAGGGUAUUCAUGUUUUUCCGGAAGGAAGCCAUUUUUUUUACGUUCGAGCGGUUUUUGGUGGAGAAAACCUAAGCAUCUUGUCUUCAACGAUGGUUCCUCUACAAAGCGGAUAUUUUUCCUAUAAAACUGGGCUUUGAACCUAGUAUCUUCCUGCUUUACAUAUUUCCUUCUUUGCAGUCUCCCUGUGAAUCGACUGGACUGCCCUCAAUUUGAGCAAUCUGAAGAUGGAAAAGGUUGACAAAGUUCCUUGAUAUCUUUCCAUUGAAAGAGUCUUGUUGAACAAGGUGGCAAGGGUUUUAGUUCUUUGAAAAAUACUGCUCCUGGACCCCUACCCCUCCAAAAGUUGAUGUUACCAGUUGUAUGUUUUGAAGAUGCUUGUGCUCUAUCUGGAUAUCUCCUCAAAAAUUGAAGAUUUGAACAGACUAUUUCACUUUACUACUAAUCCUGAAUGAUGUGUUGCUCUGUUUUGUCUAAUAUUAGCAAUGUGGUGCGCUAGGCUUUUCGAGUGGAAUGAUAAUUCAAUUACUCAGUGUAUGAAGAUUCUAAAAUGUACUUUAACUUGAGAAUCUUGUGAGAUUUAUUUUAUGUAUUCUUAUAUCAACUACUUUUGAAUUUUUAUUGUUAUAAAAAAGAUGUAUUGAAAUCAUGAACUAUGAAUGUACCUGUAAAAUGCAUAUAAAACUCUU